AUAGAAAUAAGAGGCUCUGUGGGUGUAGCUGCUGUGUUGCAUGUGUGUCAGUAGGUGGCAGAAAGGAAAGAGGCUGUGUGUAAGCUCAGCGCUCGGACCUAUGAGUGUCUGAAUGAUUAGUAGCCUAACAUC